rnacentral:tRNA from 1 species
ACCUGGGUGGCUCAGUGGGUUAAGUGUCUGACUUCGGCUCAAGUCACAAUCUCACUGUUUGUGGGUUUGAGUCCCACAUCAGGUU